UCCAUGGUCUCCCGUGCCUGGAAUACAUUUAAUUCCUUCAGAGGCGUGAGGAAAACUUCGUGCCUGCGAAUCUGCUGGUGAGCGGUGCAGACAUCUCCUGGACUGUGGUGUCAGGUGCUCUCGCCUGCCUGCUCCUGCAUGGGGCCAAGGAGAGAAUUCAGCAGGCUGAAAGCAGGCUCCAUCCUGCUGCUGCCUUUUAUGUGUGGGGAGAGCUUGGGCAGCACGUCAGCUUAUCAGCUUUCUGGGAGCACAAUUAAAGAGAGAAGAUGUUCUGUCUUCGAAGCCAUCAGUGGCUCCUCUUUGGUCUUGAGCAAGACAGAUGCUGCUCAGACUUUUGGACCAUAUUGGCAGUUCCAGGACUGGAGGGUCAUCUGAGGUUAAAAAUAAACCCAAACCACCAAACUAAAAAGGGACAAGAAACAGUCAAAAUGGACAAUGCGAAACAAUGAAGGUCAGAGGAAAGCAUUCUGCUGCAUCAGCAUCUUUUUGAUGCUUUAAUGAGCAUUUUUUGAUUAUUCAUCCAAUUAUAUAAUAUCUUCAACUGAUUUGACUUGCAAAUCUAGUGCCUUUUCCUGAGUCAAAUGAGCCAGAGUACUUUGCAGUUCUUCACUUCCACAAUAUUUCAUGACUCUUACUAAAGUCAUUAUAAUAGUGGCCUUUACUGUUACAAUAAAUCCCAGGCAUCAGUUAUA